rnacentral:lncRNA from 1 species
AGAUAAGAUGACAUGCUCAGCAAAAUAACAACGAAACCAGAGACAGAAUCAAUACCAGAGGAAAUGAAACAGAUUGUUGAGGAACAGGGAAAUAAACUGCACUGGGCAGCUCUUCUGAUACUCAUGGUGAUAAUACCCACAAUUGGUGGAAAUACCCUUGUUAUUCUGGCUGUUUCACUGGAGAAGAAGCUGCAGUAUGCUACUAAUUACUUUCUAAUGUCCUUGGCGGUGGCUGAUUUGC